rnacentral:rRNA from 1 species
UAGGGAAUCUUCGGCAAUGGACGAAAGUCUGACCGAGCAACGCCGCGUGAGUGAAGAAGGUUUUCGGAUCGUAAAACUCUGUUGUUAGAGAAGAACAAGGACGUUAGUAACUGAACGUCCCCUGACGGUAUCUAACCAGAAAGCCACGGCUAACUACGUGCCAGCAGCCGCGGUAAUACGUAGGUGGCAAGCGUUGUCCGGAUUUAUUGGGCGUAAAGCGAGCGCAGGCGGUUUCUUAAGUCUGAUGUGAAAGCCCCCGGCUCAACCGGGGAGGGUCAUUGGAAACUGGGAGACUUGAGUGCAGAAGAGGAGAGUGGAAUUCCAUGUGUAGCGGUGAAAUGCGUAGGUAUAUGGAGGAACACCAGUGGCGAAGGCGGCUCUCUGGUCUGUAGCUGACGCUGAGGCUCGAAAGCGUGGGGAGCAAACAGG